GUGUCAGCAGCCGCGGUAAUACGUAGGGACCAAGCGUUGUUCGGAUUUACUGGGCGUAAAGGGCGCGUAGGCGGCAAUUCAAGUCAGCUGUGAAAUCUCUGGGCUUAACCCAGAACGGCCAGCUGAUACUGCUUUGCUAGAGUGCAGAAGGGGCAAUCGGAAUUCUUGGUGUAGCGGUGAAAUGCGUAGAUAUCAAGAGGAACACCUGAGGUGAAGACGGGUUGCUGGGCUGACACUGACGCUGAGGCGCGAAAGCCAGGGGAGCAAACGGGAUUAGAUACCCCUGUAGUCC
rnacentral:rRNA from 1 species